GACUGUCACCCUUGUCUAGGCUGAUAGAGACAUGAGUUGCCCAAACUGGCUGAUGAAACCAUGAGGAAGUCAUGAAGCCAAGCACUGGGAAUAGUAAUGGACAGAGAAUUGGCAGAAUUCUGAAAAUGAAGACUCUUUUUCCAAAGUGAAUUGCCGGCCAUCAGCAGAGCUUCCUUGGGGCAGUGCAGACCCGGCUCUCUACUGACCAGCAAGGCAGACCAGCCGACCAAGCUCUGAAAUUCUCUGGUUCAGUGAUUGCUGAGUAUAUGAGCUACACCUGGGAUGUGCUCACAGGGGAGCAAACCCAAGACCCUCAGGCCACUAUUCAGCCCCAUCACUUUACUUGUCUCUGGAAUAGUAGCCAAGUCAAGAGGGGACCCACUAUGACCAGUCAUUGGUGCUGUGAUCUGACAGGUAAAUAAUGUGUGUAAGUAGAGGACACUCAGAAUAAAGCUCAUUGAAUCACUGCA
rnacentral:lncRNA from 1 species